rnacentral:lncRNA from 1 species
CUUACAAAUCGGAGUCAAUCUCACAUCUUCCAAUACCAGUUAGUCAUAUGCUUACGAAAACCAAAUUGACAUCUGCAGCUCGGACCUCCCCUGAACCAAGCCCAAGCGGGGAAGAGGACGGAAGGAGAACCCCUGGACUGGUCCUCACCGAGCACUACAGUAAGAAAGCCAAGUCCAGAGGCCAGAGGUGAAGCCCGACCUCUGUGUUUCUAACAUCAAGGAUGCUGCCCUGCCCAGGACCAACACCCAGCAAACUUUGGAUGAUGUCAAUAAGGUGAUGUUCACCAACAUCUUCAACAGCGGGCUGAAAGCCAAGCAGACAUGGUCACUCUGCAGUCCUCUGGAAGGCCCAAGAGAGCCCUUGCCUGCUACCUGAAUAGAUGAGGACCUCCGGAGCUACCUGGCCUUUGUGGAUUCCAGACCUCCUGCAUCAGCCGAGCUCCAGGAGAGCCCCAGCAGCGCUCUCUUUUCCUGCUGCCUCGGUGCUCAAGAUGAUGGUCUUUUUGAGUGUCCAGCUGAUUCUGUUGCUCACUUACCAUUGUGUGGGUGCCUCUGUCAUCCCUUGCCCAAGGAAAGCCUACACUUUGAGGUUUUGAAUCUCUCUCAGUGACCUUCAGGGCACUCCCUCCCAGCUGCCUGUGGCCCAGGCUGAAACACAAUGUUUCAUGUGGUUUCAGGGAUGAGGUCACACCCAUUUUCUUUGCAAUAUCCUUAACAAAUUUUCAUUUGCGGGAAAUAAAGAGUAGAUAGGAAAGCAGCCUUUUCUUUCACAUCAUUUCUCCUUAUUCUCUUUUCUUUUUCGUCUUCCUGGUUUUUCUAAAUUCCAACGCCAUCUAAUGAAAAGGGAAAAUGUUACUAAUAGCAAUUUAGCUUAAAUGCAUUGCUUUUAGUAGCCAUGGGGACAAAAAUAUCAAAGAGCCAUAAGUUAAUAGGAUUCAAGAGUAGAAAACUUCUGCAAAGCUACAGGGCACAUCCUGAUGAUACCAGCACAAAGCUGAUGUCCCUUUUCUGCAGAAGAUACACAGUACAGGUGAGCCUGCAGGUCACCCGGCAGCCCUAGAGCAGUAGAAGUAUGUAUCAUGUUAUUAUGCCUGUAGUCCAUGCUGGGGCCUGGGAAGGAGCCAGAGACAGCAUGUUCCCUUUACAUUCCAUGUUUGCCAAAAAGACCGUCUCCACAGCUUUCUCCCAGGGCCUGAUCUAGAAAACCCAGAGAUCCUUAAGUUCCACCCAUCCCUUGCCUUCAGGCUAACUGCUGCUAGAGUAAGAAAAAUGUCCCUGAAUGUGCCUCGUCUCCUGCUGGGAGUAUCACUUGUCAGUCAAAUCAGGUGAAUUAGCAUUUUGUCCCGAUUUACUUUAGAAAAGAAAAUGAAAACUAUCUCUAGAUGCAUUUUUGUAUCCUUUGCUUUGUG